GAUGAAGAACGUAGCGAAAUGCGAUAAGUAAUGUGAAUUGCAGAAUUCAGUGAAUCAUCGAAUGUUUGAACGCACAUUGCGCCCGCCAGUAUUCUGGCGGGCAUGCCUGUUCGAGCGUCAUUUCAACCAUCAAGCCCCCGGCUUGUGUUGGGGACCUGCGGCUGCCGCAGGCCCUGAAAACCAGUGGCGGGCUCGCUAGUCACUCCGAGCGUAGUAAUACAUCUCGCUCAGGGCGUGCUGCGGGUUCCGGCCGUUAAAAAGCCUUAUUUACCCAAGGUUGACCUCGGAUCAGGUAGGAAGACCCGCUGAACUUAAGCAUAUCAUAAGCGGAGGA
rnacentral:misc_RNA from 1 species